UACGUAGGGUGCGAGCGUUAAUCGGAAUUACUGGGCGUAAAGCGUGCGCAGGCGGUUUUGUAAGACAGAUGUGAAAUCCCCGGGCUCAACCUGGGAACUGCGUUUGUGACUGCAAGACUCGAGUGCGGCAGAGGGGGGUGGAAUUCCACGUGUAGCAGUGAAAUGCGUAGAUAUCUGGAGGAACACCGGUGGCGAAGGCGGCAUCCUGGACUACUACUGACGCUGAGGAGCGAAAGCCAGGGGAGCAAACGGG
rnacentral:rRNA from 1 species